rnacentral:rRNA from 1 species
UACGGAGGAUGCGAGCGUUAUCCGGAUUUAUUGGGUUUAAAGGGUGCGUAGGCGGACGCUUAAGUCAGCGGUAAAAUUGCGGGGCUCAACCUCGUCGAGCCGUUGAAACUGGGUGCCUUGAGUGGGCGAGAAGUACGCGGAAUGCGUGUGUAGCGGUGAAAUGCAUAGAUAUCACGCAGAACUCCGAUUGCGAAGGCAGCGUACCGGCGCCCUACUGACGCUGAAGCACGAAGGCGUGGGUAUCGAACAGG